CGGCGGCGAGCUCCUCGGAGGCGGCCGGGUCGAGCCCGGCGGCGACGGCGAGGGUGGUGCCGGGCGCCGGUGCGAGGCCGCUGCCACCGUC
rnacentral:tRNA from 1 species